GUUGCACCGUUGGUGAACGUCGUCUCGUCUGUCCACGAAACUUGCCAAAUAAAAUUAGCAUUUUCUCGAAUACGCCGUAAAGAAUAUCGGCGACGGUUUAUUCUUUCAAUUUCGUUCCUAGACCGCAAUGUUUGUCCACUGGAAAGUCGAUAGCUGGAACGGAUCGAAUUUCUUCAAGCAGUUCAAACAAUUGAUUCAACGAAUCACACAACGCCCACUUAAAUUUCGACUAGAUAUAUUCGCCCAUCUCGUUCUUUGAAGUACCACAUGGAAAAUUUUUAAAAAGCGAAGAAGCCCUCUAUGGAUACAUCUGAUGUCACUAUCAUGAAUUUUCGGUUUGGUCGACUUUUUUGUUCGAGUCCGAUGACUUAUGGCUGGCAAUGUAGGGGCAUAACAGGAUGCUCGUGCUUCUCCGAUGAGCACGAAAACGUUUACCGUACACGCUGCGACAAACCUCUAUUAUGCACGCGUGGCAAUAGAAUGAAAGUCAUUGUUCGCAAGGAAAGACGUCAACGACAGGAAUACAAAUUACAUAUUUUCACCGAUAAUAAAAUAUUAAAUCGGAAGCUUAUUUAAUGUUGAUGGAAAACUACCAAAUCGCUAAUUCAUACAAUAAAAUGCAUUCUUAAGCUAUGUUUCAUUAAAUGCACCUUCUAUAA